rnacentral:tRNA from 1 species
GGGGGUGUAGCCAAGUUGGUAAGGCAUCGGAUUUUGAUUCCGUUUAUCGGUGGUUCGAAUCCAUCCGCCCCUGCCA